CAGUAGCCGCGGUAAGACAGAGGAUGCAAGCGUUAUCCGGAAUGAUUGGGCGUAAAGCGUCUGUAGGUGACUUUUCAAGUCCGCCGUCAAAUCCCAGGGCUCAACCCUGGACAGGCGGUGGAAACUACCAAGCUGGAGUACGGUAGGGGCGGAGGGAAUUUCCGGUGGAGCGGUGAAAUGCGUUGAGAUCGGAAGGAACACCAGUGGCGAAGGCGGCUACCUGGACUGACACUGACACUGAGGCGCGAAAGCGUGGGGAGCAAGCAGGAUUAGAUACCCGCGUAGUCCCUGUCUCUUAUAC
rnacentral:rRNA from 1 species